CAGCCGCCACGGUAAAACGGAGGGUGCAAGCGUUAAUCGGAAUUACUGGGCGUAAAGCGCACGCAGGCGGUUAUAUAAGACAGAUGUGAAAUCCCCGGGCUCAACCUGGGAACUGCAUUUGUGACUGUAUAGCUAGAGUACGGCAGAGGGGGAUGGAAUUCCGCGUGUAGCAGUGAAAUGCGUAGAUAUGCGGAGGAACACCGAUGGCGAAGGCAAUCCCCUGGGCCUGUACUGACGCUCAUGCACGAAAGCGUGGGGAGCAAACAGGAUUAGAUACCCGUGUAGUCCCUGUCUCUUAUAC
rnacentral:rRNA from 1 species